rnacentral:rRNA from 1 species
UGGGGAAUAUUGGGCAAUGGACGCAAGUCUGACCCAGCAACGCCGCGUGAAGGAAGAAGGCUUUCGGGUUGUAAACUUCUUUUAAGGGGGAACAGUAGAAGAGGGUACCCCUUGAAUAAGCCACGGCUAACUACGUGCCAGCAGCCGCGGUAAUACGUAGGUGGCAAGCGUUGUCCGGAUUUAUUGGGUUUAAAGGGUGCGCAGGCGGCGUGCCAAGUCAGCGGUCAAAGUUCCGGGCUCAACCCGGUGAUGCCGUUGAAACUGGUGUGCUUGAGUGCGUGCGAGGGAGGCGGAAUGCGUUGUGUAGCGGUGAAAUGCAUAGAUAUGACGCAGAACUCCGAUUGCGAAGGCAGCUUUCCAGCACGCCACUGACGCUGAGGCACGAAAGCGUGGGGAUCGAACAGGAUUAGAUACCCUGGUAGU